ACACUACUGUUGGCACAAAAUCGCUUGCAAGAGUUGUUGAGGAAAAGAAAAGGAAAGAAGAUGUCGAGCUUUCAGAGAUAGACAUGUUUGAGUUAAGUCGAAAGUCAAAGAAGUCAGGGGGGCUGGUAAAUGACAAAACAAAAGAGACCUUGGACAAAAUGAGGGAAUUGCAGGCUACAACUUCAAUGACUAGCAAGGAAAUAUGCGAGCAAGAACUUGGUUACAUACCUGGACACAUCCACG